rnacentral:rRNA from 1 species
GAUGAACGCUGGCGGCGUGCCUAAUACAUGCAAGUCGAGCGAACAGACGAGGAGCUUACUCCUCUGACGUUAGCGGCGGACGGGUGAGUAACACGUGGAUAACCUACCUAUAAGACUGGGAUAACUUCGGGAAACCGGAGCUAAUACCGGAUAACAUGUUGAACCGCAUGGUUCAACAGUGAAAGACGGUCUUGCUGUCACUUAUAGAUGGAUCCGCGUCGCAUUAGCUAGUUGGUAAGGUAACGGCUUACCAAGGCAACGAUGCGUAGCCGACCUGAGAGGGUGAUCGGCCACACUGGAACUGAGACACGGUCCAGACUCCUACGGGAGGCAGCAGUAGGGAAUCUUCCGCAAUGGGCGAAAGCCUGACGGAGCAACGCCGCGUGAGUGAAGAAAGUCUUCGGAUCGUAAAACUCUGUUAUUAGGGAAGAACAAAUGUGUAAGUAACUAUGCACGUCUUGACGGUACCUAAUCAGAAAGCCACGGCUAACUACGUG